rnacentral:rRNA from 1 species
UGGGGAAUAUUGGACAAUGGGCGGAAGCCUGAUCCAGCCAUGCCGCGUGUGUGAAGAAGGCCUUAUGGUUGUAAAGCACUUUAAGCGAGGAGGAGGGUACUGGUAUUAAUACUACCAGCUACUGGACGUUACUCGCAGAAUAAGCACCGGCUAACUCUGUGCCAGCAGCCGCGGUAAUACAGAGGGUGCGAGCGUUAAUCGGAUUUACUGGGCGUAAAGCGUGCGUAGGCGGCUAAUUGAGUCGGAUGUGAAAUCCCCGAGCUUAACUUGGGAAUUGCAUUCGAUACUGGUUAGCUAGAGUGUGGGAGAGGAUGGUAGAAUUCCAGGUGUAGCGGUGAAAUGCGUAGAGAUCUGGAGGAAUACCGAUGGCGAAGGCAGCCAUCUGGCCUAACACUGACGCUGAGGUACGAAAGCAUGGGGAGCAAACAGG